rnacentral:rRNA from 1 species
AGAGUUUGAUCCUGGCUCAGGAUGAACGCUAGCGACAGGCUUAACACAUGCAAGUCGAGGGGCAGCACAGGUAGCAAUACCGGGUGGCGACCGGCGCACGGGUGAGUAACGCGUAUGCAACUUGCCUAUCAGAGGGGGAUAACCCGGCGAAAGUCGGACUAAUACCGCAUGAAGCAGGGAUCCCGCAUGGGAAUAUUUGCUAAAGAUUCAUCGCUGAUAGAUAGGCAUGCGUUCCAUUAGGCAGUUGGCGGGGUAACGGCCCACCAAACCGACGAUGGAUAGGGGUUCUGAGAGGAAGGUCCCCCACAUUGGUACUGAGACACGGACCAAACUCCUACGGGAGGCAGCAGUGAGGAAUAUUGGUCAAUGGCCGAGAGGCUGAACCAGCCAAGUCGCGUGAAGGAAGAAGGAUCUAUGGUUUGUAAACUUCUUUUAUAGGGGAAUAAAGUGGAGGACGUGUCCUUUUUUGUAUGUACCCUAUGAAUAAGCAUCGGCUAACUCCGUGCCAGCAGCCGCGGUAAUACGGAGGAUGCGAGCGUUAUCCGGAUUUAUUGGGUUUAAAGGGUGCGUAGGUGGUGAUUUAAGUCAGCGGUGAAAGUUUGUGGCUCAACCAUAAAAUUGCCGUUGAAACUGGGUUACUUGAGUGUGUUUGAGGUAGGCGGAAUGCGUGGUGUAGCGGUGAAAUGCAUAGAUAUCACGCAGAACCCCGAUUGCGAAGGCAGCCUGCCAAGCCAUUACUGACGCUGAUGCACGAAAGCGUGGGGAUCAAACAGGAUUAGAUACCCUGGUAGUCCACGCAGUAAACGAUGAUCACUAGCUGUUUGCGAUACACUGUAAGCGGCACAGCGAAAGCGUUAAGUGAUCCACCUGGGGAGUACGCCGGCAACGGUGAAACUCAAAGGAAUUGACGGGGGCCC